GGAAUUGAUCUCAGCUGGGAGAGCGUCCCGAUGAAAUCGGGAAGGUCAGCGGUUCGAUCCCGCUUAGCUCCA
rnacentral:tRNA from 1 species